CGAUGCAUAGCCGACCUGAGCCAUGAUCAAACUCUACUGGGACUGAGACACGGCCCAGACUCCUACGGGAGGCAGCAGUAGGGAAUCUUCGGCAAUGGACGAAAGUCUGACCGAGCAACGCCGCGUGAGUGAAGAAGGUUUUCGGAUCGUAAAACUCUGUUGUUAGAGAAGAACAAGGACGUUAGUAACUGAACGUCCCCUGACGGUAUCUAACCAGAAAGCCACGGCUAACUACGUGCCAGCAGCCGCGGUAAUACGUAGGUGGCAAGCGUUGUCCGGAUUUAUUGGGCGUAAAAGCGAGCGCAGGCGGUUUCUUAAGUCUGAUGUGAAAGCCCCCGGCUCAACCGGGGAGGGUCAUUGGAAACUGGGAGACUUGAGUGCAGGAAGAGGAGAGUGGAAUUCCAUGUGUAGCGGUGAAAAUGCGUUAGAUAUA
rnacentral:rRNA from 1 species